UAGCGGCAGUCGCCGGUUGCACGGUUCUUCGCCGCUUAGCUGCAACCGCUGGCGGGUCGAGUGUACGCGCUUCGAUUUCGACCGAAAAAUUCCUAUUCGUGACAUGCUACCGUACAGUUGCGCCGAGUAUUGAUACCGUGUUGUGGUUCUGUAGUGGUUGGAUUUUUAUUUCCUUUCUUUUACGUACCUUGUCUCUUUGACUACAUUUCUGAGGAAAGUUGUUAUUGAAUUUAGCUCGAUCGACAAGGACAGGAGUUUUUUUCCCAAAAUCGUCUGCGAAACUUUUAUCAUACUUUUUUUGUUGAUAUUUUGCAUAAUCCCGCGAAAAUGGAUUCACGGAGAAAACUGCAGAGGGCUAUCCUUCAUCUCCUGAUGCAGCUCAUCUAUACAGUUUUGAAAAAGAAGGGGAGAUGAUUGUUCAGCAAUUGUAAAACGGCUGCACGAGGCAAAAACGGUCGAGAGCCACUGCUCUAGAAAAUAUGUCUGAUAGAAAGUGUUAUAUAUUCCAUAUGUUUAUAGCUUUUGAUGUGAAUUAUGACUUAUUUAUUUUCUUAGGAAUCAUUUUUAGUUUAGUAUUAUGGUCUUCAAUUUAUCGACCCAAGGAUUGCAUACAUAUAUAAAGUUUGUAACAGAAAAUAUAAAAUAAUACUGCUCUUUUAAAGCAAAAUUUAAUUUUAUAUUUAGCUCUGACCUAUAUUCCGGUCAUCCGUCUUCUAUGUGUUAAUGGCUGUCGAAUAUUGGCACAUGUAUCUUUCUGCAAAAAUAUGAUUUGGCGCGUUCUGUCUUGUAACAUAAAUGAUCAAAUAAUGCUGCUUUUUUUAAAGCAAAAUUUAAUUUUUUAUUUAUCCUUUUUGCUUCUGAAUACAAAUCUAGAAUAUGUUUUGAGUAUAAUAUAAAAUAUAAAUAAGAAAUUAAAGUUUCGUCUUAUCUCUU